UGGGGAAUAUUGGACAAUGGGCGAAAGCCUGAUCCAGCCAUGCCGCGUGGGUGAAGAAGGUCUUCGGAUUGUAAAGCACUUUAAGGUGGGAGGAAGGGCAGUAAGCGAAUACCUUGCUGUUUUGACGUUACCGACAGAAUAAGCACCGGCUAACGCGGUGCCAGCAGCCGCGGUAAUACAGAGGGGGCAAGCGUGAAUCGGAAGUACGGGGCGUAAAGCGCGCGUAGGUGGUUCGUGAAGUUGAAUGUGAAAGCCCCGGGCUCAACCUGGGAACUUCAUCCAAAACUGGCAAGCUAGAGUAGGGCAGAGGGUGGUGGAAUUUCCUGUGUAGCGGUGAAAUGCGUUGAUAUAGGAAGGAACACCAGUGGCGAAGGCUACCACCUGGGCUCAUACUGACUCUUAAGUGCGAAAGCGUGGGGAGCAAACUGG
rnacentral:rRNA from 1 species